UUGAGCAUGAGGACCGUGUGAAGAGGCCGCUCAUGCUGGCGGCUGCACCCAAAGGCUGUGUGGAAAGCAACGUGAGGUGAUUGUAAAGUAUGUCAACUAAUUCAGGAUAAGAGUGUAACAACAACAAAAUGGAUGCAUGCAGGUCGUAGCCUCACUCAACAAACCGCUACUCACAUCAACUCAUCGCACAGUGGGACCAGGCUGUCAAUCAGGAUCGUAUAAUUCGUCCCUCUCACAGACAAGGAGCCUGGGGAUUGUGAGUUCUUGUCGGGAUGACUGAUGAUAUCUGGUGACGCUCAUCAAUUUAUUUCCGAAGAUAUUCAGUUGAUAAUUCAUCUCAUACAAUGAUGGGUCCCACAGCCCAGUAACCGAUUUAAUUGGAAAGCAUCUGGCCCCCAGCAACCAAUCCUCCUGAAGACACACACACACACACACACACACACACACACACACACACAGACACACACACAC